GACUACUAGGGUAUCUAAUCCCGUUCGCUACCCUAGCUUUCGCAUCUCAGCGUCAGGACAGGCCCAGUGCGCCGCUUUCGCCGCCGGCGUUCCUCUUGAUAUCUACGCAUUCCACCGCUCCACCAAGAGUUCCACGCACCCCUACCUGCCUCAAGCCAUGCAGUUCGCCCAGCAGUUCCACGGUUGAGCCGUGGGAUUUCACAAGACGCUUGCAUGGCCGCCUACAUGCGCUUUAAGCCCAGUGAUUCCGAACAACGCUUGCCACCUUCGUAUUACCGCGGCUGCUGGCACGAAGUUAGCCGUGGCUUCCUCUGGGGCGGCUCAACUCAGGGAGGUAUUAACUCCCCUCGCUUGCUGGCCCCUGACAGCAGUUUACACGCCGAAGCGCUUCGUCCUGCACGCGGCAUUGCUCCAUCAGACUUGCGUCCAUUGUGGAAUAUUCCUUACUGCAGCCCCCCGUAGG
rnacentral:rRNA from 1 species